UACGUAGGGUGCGAGCGUUAAUCGGAAUUACUGGGCGUAAAGCGUGCGCAGGCGGCGCGUUAAGACAGGUGUGAAAUCCCCGGGCUUAACCUGGGAAUGGCAUUGGUGACUGCACGGCUAGAGUGUGUCAGAGGGGGGUAGAAUUCCACGUGUAGCAGUGAAAUGCGUAGAGAUGUGGAGGAAUACCGAUGGCGAAGGCAGCCCCCUGGGAUAACACUGACGCUCAUGCACGAAAGCGUGGGGAGCAAACAGG
rnacentral:rRNA from 1 species